rnacentral:rRNA from 1 species
ACUUAGUGGCGGACGGGUGAGUAACACGUAGUUAACCUACCCUAAAGCGGGGGACAACUGAAGGAAACUUCAGCUAAUACCACAUAAGACCACGAACUGGGAUGUUAGUGGUAAAAGGAUCAAUUCACUUUAGGAUGGGACUGCGGCCUAUCAGGUAAUUGGUAGGGUAAAGGCCUACCAAGUCAAAGACGGGUAGCCGGACUGAGAGGUCGAACGGCCACAAUGGAACUGAGACACGGUCCAGACUCCUACGGGAGGCAGCAGUGGGAAAUCUUGCUCAAUGGGCGAAAGCCUGAAGCAGCGACGCCGCGUGGAGGACGAAGGCCUUCGGGUUGUAAACUCCUUUUGUAGGGGAAAAUAAUGAUGGUACCCUAUGAAUAAGCCACGGCUUACUCUGUGCCAGCAUCCGCGGUUAGACAGAGGUGGCGAGCGUUGUUCGGAAUUACUGGGCUUAAAGGGCGCGUAGGAGGUGGUGCAAGUCUGGCGUGGAAUUCUAUGGCUUAACUAUAGGACUGCCCUGGUAACUGCAUUAC